CAGUAGCCGCGGUAAUACGAAGGGGGCUAGCGUUGUUCGGAUUUACUGGGCGUAAAGCGCACGUAGGCGGACUUUUAAGUCAGGGGUGAAAUCCCGGGGCUCAACCCCGGAACUGCCUUUGAUACUGGAAGUCUUGAGUAUGGUAGAGGUGAGUGGAAUUCCGAGUGUAGAGGUGAAAUUCGUAGAUAUUCGGAGGAACACCAGUGGCGAAGGCGGCUCACUGGACCAUUACUGACGCUGAGGUGCGAAAGCGUAGGGAGCAAACAGGAUUAGAUACCCCAGUAGUCCCUGUCUCUUAUAC
rnacentral:rRNA from 1 species